rnacentral:lncRNA from 1 species
GUACUCUUGGAAGCUUAACUACUCAGGGCAAGCCAUCGAUAAAUCUAGUAAUCUUUAGCCCCUAUACUCCCAUGGACAUCAAAAGUCAAAUUCGAGUCAUCUUUCCUAUGACUAUUAUGGUCUAGAAAUAUCUCGAAAUUCCUUUAUUGGGUUUCAAAGCUAUUGACUUUCAUUACCUCCUAGAUAAAGUGGCAGCCAAACUUACAAAUUGGAAGGGGAGGGCUCUCUUCUAUUGGGAAGAGCAACCUUUCUAAAGGC